AGAGUUUGAUCCUGGCUCAGGAUGAACGCUGGCGGCGUGCUUAACACAUGCAAGUCGAGCGAAGCACUUAAGAUUGAUUCUUCGGAUGAAGACUUUUGUGACUGAGCGGCGGACGGGUGAGUAACGCGUGGGUAACCUGCCUCAUACAGGGGGAUAACAGUUAGAAAUGACUGCUAAUACCGCAUAAGACCACAGCACCGCAUGGUGCAGGGGUAAAAACUCCGGUGGUAUGAGAUGGACCCGCGUCUGAUUAGGUAGUUGGUGGGGUAACGGCCUACCAAGCCGACGAUCAGUAGCCGACCUGAGAGGGUGACCGGCCACAUUGGGACUGAGACACGGCCCAAACUCCUACGGGAGGCAGCAGUGGGGAAUAUUGCACAAUGGGGGAAACCCUGAUGCAGCGACGCCGCGUGAGGGAAGAAGUAUUUCGGUAUGUAAAGCUCUAUCAGCAGGGAAGAAAAUGACGGUACCUGACUAAGAAGCCCCGGCUAACUACGUGCCAGCAGCCGCGGUAAUACGUAGGGGGCAAGCGUUAUCCGGAUUUACUGGGUGUAAAGGGAGCGUAGACGGAGCGGCAAGUCUGAUGUGAAAACCCGGGGCUCAACCCCGGGACUGCAUUGGAAACUGUUGAUCUGGAGUGCCGGAGAGGUAAGCGGAAUUCCUAGUGUAGCGGUGAAAUGCGUAGAUAUUAGGAGGAACACCAGUGGCGAAGGCGGCUUACUGGACGGUAACUGACGUUGAGGCUCGAAAGCGUGGGGAGCAAACAGGAUUAGAUACCCUGGUAGUCCACGCC
rnacentral:rRNA from 1 species